CUGCUCAGGCAGCUCGCCACCGUCCAUCGGCGACGCCGCCUUCAUGCCUCGGCAAUGCGCCGCCGCGUUUGGGUCUUCGGUAAGAACUGCGUUGUUUUUGCGCAUACUGCGGGUCUUCGCAGAGUGUAGAGGCUAGACCACCUGUCCAGUCAGCUUGUUCGGCGAGUGGCUGGGUACGUAGCUGGGUGAAAAUGCUGCCUGUGCACAUGGUUGAAAGCACAAGCAAGGCAUUACAUAUGCAUGCUUAUACAUUACAUGCAUUAUAAAUUAUUAAGAUAUAAGGUUACAGACUUGCAAAUCACUGAUCGUCUUGGUUCAAUUAGUAAUUACGGUUGGUACUACUGUGAAGCUGAACCAAUUUUGCAGCCAAGUCUGAUAAAUUGAAGAAAUUUAAAAGGUGAAAUCUUCAACAUGCACUUACACUAGUCGUCUUUUUUUUUUCUCCUCUCUAAGCAACAUGCUAUUGUCAGCCUUUCCACUAUAAUACUAUUAGUGGUUGCUUUUCACUGGUGUUUUUGGUGUGGAAGAGUAAGCCUCUUUUUUUUUUUGUUGCAUUGUGUAUUGCAGUUCUUACCAUGUCACCCAAGAAGUGGAGUAAUUACUGUUUAAGAAGAAACAUACUGAGAUGCAUAUAUACAUUGAUUCACAUUGUUGAAUGUAAUUUCUGGUUGCGCAAUAAAAGUGCAUCUUUUUCAUAAAAGAA